UACGGAGGGGGCUAGCGUUGUUCGGAAUUACUGGGCGUAAAGCGCGCGUAGGCGGCUUUGUAAGUUAGAGGUGAAAGCCCAGGGCUCAACCCUGGAAUUGCCUUUAAGACUGCAUCGCUUGAACAUCGGAGAGGUAAGUGGAAUUCCGAGUGUAGAGGUGAAAUUCGUAGAUAUCGGGAGGAACACCAGUGGCGAAGGCGACUUCCUGGCCUGUUCUUGACGCUGAGGCGCGAAAGCUAGGGGAGCAAACGGG
rnacentral:rRNA from 1 species